CCUACGGGUGGCAGCAGUAGGGAAUCUUCCUCAAUGGGGGAAACUCUGAUGCAGCAACGCCGCGUGGAGGAUGAAGGUUUUAGGAUUGUAAACUCCUUUUGUUAGAGAAGAUUAUGACGGUAUCUAACGAAUAAGCACCGGCUAACUCCGUGCCAGCAGCCGAGGUAAUACGGAGGGUGCAAGCGUUACUCGGAAUCACUGGGCGUAAAGAGUGCGGAGGCGGGGUAAUAAGUCAGAUGUGAAAGCCUGUCGCUUAACCAGAGAACUGCAUUUGAAACUGUUACUCUGGAGUGUAGGAGAGGUAAGUGGAAUUCUAUGUGUAGGGGUAGAAUCCGUAGAGAUCAAGAGGAAUACUCAUUGCGAAGGCGACCUGCUGGAACAUUACUGACGCUGAUGCACGAAAGCGUGGGGAGCAAACAGGAUUAGAUACCCGUGUAGUC
rnacentral:rRNA from 1 species